ACACGUACAAUUUUAGGGCAAAUCAUUUCAGCCUCCCCCAAUCGCCUCAAUCUCUGUUCUCGUUCUCAACUCUGGACUUGCCCUCUCUCUUUCUCUGCCACUGCAAACUACAAAAUCUACAAGAAUCAGAAGUUCAAAACCCAUAUAAUUCAGUUUAUCUAUCUGUCUGCAAGAAUCAAAAUUUCAAAACCUAUUACCUAUAUAAAAACCCAUAUCGGCAUAUCAUUUCAGAUUGUUCAAAAAAUCAAAACCCAUAUCCUUCAGUUUCCAUCGCCGGCCGCUGUUCUAGUUCGGGUUCGCCUUUCGCAAGCUUCAGCCGCUGGCCCGCUGUCUGUCAACUCUCAAGCCCCUCUCUCUGCAACUGCUUACUGGAGGAAAUUCAUGAGUUGCUUCUGAGUUUUGCUGAAGCUGGAGCCAUAGUUGUGAGACUUAAAGGAGGUGAUCCACUGGUGAGUUUUCAUGUGAAAACUGUUAGAACAAAAACUUCUUAGCAAGAAACUUAAACAAGCAGGAUUAAAAAAAUAUAUAUAGAAACUUCAACAAGCUGUACCUUAGAAAUGUCAACUUUGUUUUUUUAUAAUAAAAAUUAGUUUUUUUGUCCUGAAUUUCUGUGGGUGUAUCGGGUGUUUGGGAGGUGGGGAGGAGAUGGAUUUCUUGCAACAACAGGGGAUUGAAGUGCAAGUCAUUCCAGGUAUCACUGCCACUUCAGGAAUAACAGCUGAACUGGGGAUCCCUUUAACCCACCGUGGUGUUGCAAAUAGUGUUGGAUUUCUCACGGGCCACUCAAGAAAUGGAGGAACAGACCCCCUGUUUGUUGCAGAAAAUGUAGCGGACCCUGAUUCAACUUUGGUUGUUUAUAUGGGUUUGUCAACUCUCCCUUCCCUUGCACAAAAGUUGAUACACCACGGUUUGCCACCCAAUACACCAGCUGCUGCAGUUGAGCAAGGGACCACGCCUGAACAACACAUUGUAAGCAAACAUAAUCCUCAACCUAUGUUAAUUUUUCUGUGUUUAAUGCUAAAUUUUUAUAUUUUUUUCACCAAGUGUCGCAGAUUUCAACUUUUUUGUCUUUCAUUUUAAUUUCAUAGCUGAGUGCAUAGUCAAUGUAUCUGGUGCAAGUCUAACUCUUAAAAACACAAGUCUAUGGGAUUAUGGUCUCCAUGGUUGAGAAAAAACUGAGAAAGCCUAGUUUGAGUUAAAGGGAGUGAUAAUGGUACAAUUUGAGGAAAAUAAAUAGCUGCAUUCAUAAGCUUGCUAUAAUAUGCUGCCAAUAAACAUUGGUCAAUUUCUAGCAAACUAUGAGAGGACCAAAAAGCUUAUGAUCACCAAUUACCAAGACAGUGAGUAACAAGUGAUGAUUUAAAAAAAAAAAAUACACACUAGCAUAUGAUAUAUCAGUUUAACAUCCAAAGUCAUAGAAAGGGAAGGGUGUGACAGAUUAUCCAAAAACAAAACCAACCUUUGAUUUUGUUAACCAACCACUUGCUUCCUCCUUCAAUACUAUUUGACAAGGACUAUUCAUUGAAAGAAAAAGGUCAGUAGUAAAAUGUUGCAUAACGCAUGCAAAACAAAGCAGUGCAGGCAUAGCAAAAUAUCAAUGAGCUGCCACAUGUUCACAUGCAUUGACACAUUAAAUAUGAGAACCGAAUAAAUAAGGGGUUCAUGAGAACUGCCGAGGACGUGAAACGAUUCCAUAGUUUUUUAUUACAUGUGACUUCAACUUCAAUUAAAUUGAUACAAUUUUCAAGAAUACUUCAAGUGAUGCAACUAUUCUUAUCAAUAAUUCUUAUCAAAAUUGAGUUUUUGGGUGAGUUGUGGCCACAUUAUGAUUUGGAUUUGUGGUUUCUUUAGGUGCGGACAUAUUUCACUAAGUUGUGUUCUUAUAAAAUUAAAAUCGUGUGCACACAUACAUAAUUUUAGCAACUUUACAACUUGCUUUACGUUCUCUUACUUCAACUAUUACAUUUUGUAAGUCAAAGCUAGGAUUGAGGGAUUGUGGUUCCCAAUACUUUUUUUGUUACCAUUAUAUUUUUUGUAUGGCUCAAUAGAAGUUGCAUAUAUUGAAGAGAGAGACUAAAACAGAGUAAGAUGAUAUGAAGAAUUUUUGUUUUAUUUUGGUUAAGUAAAGGUAUAAGGUAUGGAUCAUGUAUUACUUUGAAAUUUGUAUAUAUUUUUGUAUAAAAACAUGAUUUGGAAUUUGUUAUAUAAAUAUGAUGUUAUUGGCAGUUGUAAGUUA